GAGCUUGCUCCUUCUGGAUCAGUGGCGAACGGGUGAGUAACACGUGAGUAACCUGCCCUUGACUCUGGGAUAAGCGUUGGAAACGACGUCUAAUACCGGAUACGAGCUUCAGCCGCAUGGCUAGGAGCUGGAAAGAACUUCGGUCAAGGAUGGACUCGCGGCCUAUCAGCUAGUUGGUGAGGUAAUGGCUCACCAAGGCGACGACGGGUAGCCGGCCUGAGAGGGUGACCGGCCACACUGGGACUGAGACACGGCCCAGACUCCUACGGGAGGCAGCAGUGGGGAAUAUUGCACAAUGGGCGCAAGCCUGAUGCAGCAACGCCGCGUGAGGGACGACGGCCUUCGGGUUGUAAACCUCUUUUAGUAGGGAAGAAGCGAAAGUGACGGUACCUGCAGAAAAAGCACCGGCUAACUACGUGCCAGCAGCCGCGGUAAUACGUAGGGUGCAAGCGUUAUCCGGAAUUAUUGGGCGUAAAGAGCUCGUAGGCGGUCUGUCGCGUCUGCUGUGAAAACUGGAGGCUCAACCUCCAGCUUGCAGUGGGUACGGGCAGACUAGAGUGCGGUAGGGGAGAUUGGAAUUCCUGGUGUAGCGGUGGAAUGCGCAGAUAUCAGGAGGAACACCGAUGGCGAAGGCAGAUCUCUGGGCCGUAACUGACGCUGAGGAGCGAAAGCAUGGGGAGCGAACAGGAUUAGAUACCCUGGUAGUCCAUGCCGUAAACGUUGGGCGCUAGAUGUGGGGACCAUUCCAC
rnacentral:rRNA from 1 species